rnacentral:rRNA from 1 species
AGUGAACGCUGGCGGUAGGCCUAACACAUGCAAGUCGAACGGCAGCACAGUAAGAGCUUGCUCUUACGGGUGGCGAGUGGCGGACGGGUGAGGAAUACAUCGGAAUCUACUUUUUCGUGGGGGAUAACGUAGGGAAACUUACGCUAAUACCGCAUACGACCUACGGGUGAAAGCAGGGGAUCUUCGGACCUUGCGCGAUUGAAUGAGCCGAUGUCGGAUUAGCUAGUUAGCGGGGUAAAGGCCCACCAAGGCGACGAUCCGUAGCUGGUCUGAGAGGAUGAUCAGCCACACUGGAACUGAGACACGGUCCAGACUCCUACGGGAGGCAGCAGUGGGGAAUAUUGGACAAUGGGCGCAAGCCUGAUCCAGCCAUACCGCGUGGGUGAAGAAGGCCUUCGGGUUGUAAAGCCCUUUUGUUGGGAAAGAAAAGCAGCAGGUUAAUACCCCGCUGUUCUGACGGUACCAAAAGAAUAAGCACCGGCUAACUUCGU